CCGCCGUACCUACGGGGUGGCGGUCCCCGGCGGCUGUGGUGCGAGUCGGGAGGACGGCCGUAGCGCGCCAUCUGCACCCGCAGCUCGCGGCCAUCGAGCACGGCCCCAUCCAUGGCGUCCAUGGCGUCUUCGGCGUCACGCUUGUCGUGGAACCGGACGAAAGCGAAGCCACGGGACUCCUUGGUGUAGCGGUCCCGCGGGAUGUACACGUCGCCGACGCGCCCGUACUUCUCGAAGACGCGCCUCAGGGUGUCGGGUGAGGUGCGGUAGGUCAGGUUGUCCACCUUGAGGGAGGUCAUGCCCUCCACAUCGGGAGGCGGGCGGCCGUAGCUCAUGGCUGCGAAGCGGCGCCGAGACCCCAACGCCCCGGACAGGCCCUCGCUCUCAGGAAACGCGGCUUCUCUCUGGCUUUCGGCAGCUACAAUCCUCGUGGAUCAGCCAAGAGCCGCAAGGCCGCCGCGUAGCACCCUCGCGGGAAGGACUCGACUGUAAGGGGGUUCGACUGGAGGUGAUUAUCCUGGGCCGCUCCUGACCUCCGAGCAAGCGGAGCCAAAAUGUCUCCGGAAUCUAAAAAGCUUUUCAACAUCGUAAUUUUAGGAGUUGCCUUUAUGUUUAUGUUCACCGCCUUUCAGACUUGUGGAAAUGUGGCGCAAACUGUCAUCAGGAGCUUAAAUAGCACAGAUUUUCAUGGCAGUGGAUAUACCAGCUUGGCAAUUAUUUAUGGCGUGUUCUCUGCCUCAAAUUUGAUCACUCCGUCCGUGGUCGCCAUUGUCGGGCCUCAGAUCUCUAUGUUUGUCAGUGGUUUGUUCUACAGUCCUUUGGACAGCACAAGGAAAUUGCCUGACAAUAAACUCUGAUGAACACACAAUCGGGAGAAACAGCGGGAUUUUCUGGGCACUCUUGCAAUCUAGCUUGUUCUUUGGGAAUCUCUACAUAUAUUUUGCCUGGCAAGGGAAAACCCAGAUUUCAGAAUGACAGAAGGACUGUGUUCAUCGCUCUGACAGUCAUAAGCCUCGUGGGGACCGUUCUGUUCUUUCUCAUUCGGAA
rnacentral:lncRNA from 1 species